CCGGCGACCGGCGCACGGGUGAGUAACACGUAUGAAACCUGCCCGUAGCAGGGGGAUAAGCGGAAGAAAUUCCGUCUAAUACCGCGUAACAACCCAUGGAGGCAUCUCCGUGGGUUUAAAGGAAGCGAUUCCGGCUACGGAUGGUCAUGCGUCGCAUUAGCUUGUUGGCAGGGUAACGGCCCACCAAGGCGACGAUGCGUAGGGGUUCUGAGAGGAAGGUCCCCCACACUGGUACUGAGACACGGACCAGACUCCUACGGGAGGCAGCAGUGAGGAAUAUUGGUCAAUGGCCGCAGGGCUGAACCAGCCAAGUCGCGUGAGGGAUGACGGUCCUAUGGAUUGUAAACCUCUUUUGUCAGGGAGCAAAGGGCGCCACGUGUGGCGUUUUGCGAGUACCUGAAGAAAAAGCAUCGGCUAACUCCGUGCCAGCAGCCGCGGUAAUACGGAGGAUGCGAGCGUUAUCCGGAUUUAUUGGGUUUAAAGGGUGCGCAGGCGGAAUGUCAAGUCAGCGGUAAGAUUUCGGGGCUCAAACCCCGU
rnacentral:rRNA from 1 species